ACCUGUCAGGCCCUCUCUCCUGCAUACAAUCCUUGCUCUUCCACGCCCAAAUGAGGCUGAACUAAGGAUAGGAUGGCAGAAGACGGCAGCCUGGAACAGCCAGAGAUGAUGGAAAAACAUUUACCGUUAGUGGUGUGCCAGGCACUGUGCUAAGAUUUUUAAAGUCCUGUAUGUGACUCUUGAUUCUCAUCAUGCCCUACAAGAUAAUGAAGUGGAGGUCAGAGCUGCGGAAAGAACUGCCGGAGAUGGCCUUGUGGGCAGGGUACCAUCUGCCUCCUCAGGUCCUCACCACGAAGUUGGAGUAUAGGUGAGAUGCUCCCAUUGAUGAGAAAAGAAACUGAGGCCCAGAGAGGGGAGGGACUUGCCCAGGGUCACACAGCAAGGCUGAGCCUGGGUGAGGGGCUGAGGGCUCUGGACUGCUGGGGUCAGCGUUCUGGGGCUUUCCUCCCAGCCCUGCCCACCCUCGACUUUGGUCUUAGCCUCUGCCUCCUGACAAACACUGUCAGAAAAUUCUGAGGCUCUGCUCUAAGAAAGUUAUACCAUGGGGCAGAAGUGUGCCAAUUGCCAGGAGGAGGGCCAAAAACUGCUGUCUCCUGGGCACUGGGGGAUCUGGAGGAAACAGUAGUGGGACAGAGAGGGAAACCGAGGCGAGUCCAGGAACCGGGGAUUGAGCCCUGCUCCGAAGCCCCAUAUGAUCUCACAAGUCUCUGGGGCCCAGCAUUUUCAUCUGUGGAAUCAUCUUAAUCCUGGCCUGCACACCCCCACCGACCACCCCGUGCUGUCAACUGUCAAGUUGAAGGACCCGGGGGAAGCAGAAGUUUGCUGAGACCCGGAGGGGACACCGACUUGGGGAAACAGAGCCUUGGUCAGUGUGACCCCUCAUCGAGCCGCCCUGGGUCCCAGCGUCACUGCUGGUGGGGGCGUGGGACAGCUUCCCAUGGCACACCCAUACCCACUCCAGCCCCAGUAACUCCGGCUGAGCCCCCGUGUGAACCAGUUCCAGAGGCAGAGCAUGGAACUCGUGGAGGGCUUCCCUUGCCCAGCCCAUGAGGUCCAAGAAAACCAGAGAUGGACACACCCAUAAAUGGAGAGGCAGAGACACAGAGACUGGCAGAG